rnacentral:rRNA from 1 species
CAAUCACCGCUGUGAAGGUGCUGCAUGGUUGUCGUCAGCUCGUGCCGUGAGGUGUCGGCUUAAGUGCCAUAACGAGCGCAACCCUUAUCUUUAGUUACUAACAGGUCAUGCUGAGGACUCUAGAGAGACUGCCGUCGUAAGAUGUGAGGAAGGUGGGGAUGACGUCAAAUCAGCACGGCCCUUACGUCCGGGGCUACACACGUGUUACAAUGG